UGGGGAAUUUUGGACAAUGGGCGAAAGCCUGAUCCAGCAAUGCCGCGUGUGUGAAGAAGGCCUUCGGGUUGUAAAGCACUUUUGUCCGGAAAGAAAUGGCUCUGGUUAAUACCUGGGGUCGAUGACGGUACCGGAAGAAUAAGGACCGGCUAACUACGUGCCAGCAGCCGCGGUAAUACGUAGGGUCCAAGCGUUAAUCGGAAUUACUGGGCGUAAAGCGUGCGCAGGCGGUUGUGCAAGACCGAUGUGAAAUCCCCGAGCUUAACUUGGGAAUUGCAUUGGUGACUGCACGGCUAGAGUGUGUCAGAGGGGGGUUAGAAUUCCACGUGUAGCAGUGAAAUGCGUAGAGAUGUGGAGGAAUACCGAUGGCGAAGGCAGCCCCCUGGGACAACACUGACGCUCAUGCACGAAAGCGUGGGGAGCAAACAGGAUUAGAUACCCUGGUAGUCCACGCCCUAAACGAUGUCAACUAGUUGUUGGGGAUUCAUUUCCUUAGUAACGUAGCUAACGCGUGAAGUUGACCGCCUGGGGAGUACGGUCGCAAGAUUAAAAGCUCAAAUGAAUUUGACGGGGG
rnacentral:rRNA from 1 species